GAUGAAGAACGUAGCGAAAUGCGAUACUUGGUGUGAAUUGCAGAAUCCCGUGAACCAUCGAGUCUUUGAACGCAAGUUGCGCUCGAAGCCAUUAGGCCGAGGGCACGCCUGCCUGGGCGUCACACGUCGUUGCCCCCCCAUCUACUCCUUCGGGAUUGCGGGGGGCGGAUGAUGGCCUCCCGUGCGCCACGCCGCGCGGUUGGCAUAAAUGCCAAGUCCUCGGCGACGCACGCCACGACAAUCGGUGGUUGCGAAACCUCGGUUGCCCGUCGUGUGCGGUCGUCGCGCAUCGAGGGCUCGAAAAAAUUGCCGGGUUCCGGCUCGGCUUUCAACGCGACCCCAGGUCAGGCGGGGUUACCCGCUGAAUUUAAGCAUAUCAAUAAGCGGAGGA
rnacentral:misc_RNA from 1 species